AGGGCAUGGGAAUGACGCAGAGCUCCUUGCGAAUUCACCAGUCCUCCUAUCGCGACCCGAGGGGGCUUGGAAGAGGGUCGGCCGCACAAGAGGAGCUCGGCGAGAUGCGCUCCUUGACGCCAGGGUGGCUGGGGCUUUCCCGACGCAUUUAGAUCGAAAAGAGGCAUGCGGGGCGGGGCUAGGAAUUUUAUAUGGGCUCGGUUGGGCGCUUAAACUAGGAAAUCGCAGAGAGCCCAGGAUCGAUUGCCAUCGGGGUGUCUGGCUCAGCGACGGCAGAGGAAGGAGAUGACGCUGUGCGGUGGGGUCGGCUCGUCAGCGAGAGAAGGAGAGGGCCCCAGCUGUCGGCCGGAGAAACGGGAGAGAGGGGAGGCGCGCGUUGCCUGGCGAGCUAGGCCGAAACACGAGCUGGGGAAAGCUGGGUCGCGGGGGGAAAAAAAGCUGGGCCUCGGCCUGGUUUCCAGGGUGGUUUUCCCCUUUUUCUUUUUUUUUUCUUUUCUAUUUUAUUUUUCCAAAGCCUUUUCUAAAUAGAAGUUUGAAUGCAAAUAAAUUCUCACAAAAAAACAGCAAGCAUAGAAUAAGAUGUGCUCCAGC
rnacentral:lncRNA from 1 species